rnacentral:rRNA from 1 species
ACGGGUGAGUAACGCGUGGGCAACCUGCCUAUCACAGGGGGAUAACACAGGGAAACUUGUGCUAAUACCGCAUAACACAGCGAGGAAGCAUUUUCUUGUUGUCAAAGGAGCAAUCCGGUGAUAGAUGGGCCCGCGUCCAAUUAGCUAGUUGGUGAUGUAACGGACCACCAAGGCGACGAUUGGUAGCCGAACUGAGAGGUUGAUCGGCCACAUUGGGACUGAGACACGGCCCAGACUCCUACGGGAGGCAGCGGUGGGGAAUAUUGCACAAUGGGGGAAACCCUGGUGCAGCAACGCCGCGUGAAGGAUGAAGGUUUUCGGAUUGUAAACUUCUUUAGUCAGGGACGAAUAAAUGACGGUACCUGAAGAAUAAGCCACGGCUAACUACGUGCCAGCAGCCGCGGUAAUACGUAGGUGGCGAGCGUUGUCCGGAAUUACUGGGUGUAAAGGGCGUGUAGGCGGGAAUGUAAGUCAGAUGUGAAAUCCCAGGGCUCAACCCUGGAGCUGCAUCUGAAACUAUGUUUCUUGAGUGUCGGAGAGGAAAGCGGAAUUCCUAGU